rnacentral:rRNA from 1 species
AGAGCGAACGCUGGCGGCGUGCUUAACACAUGCAAGUCGAACGAAGGCUUCGGCCUUAGUGGCGGACGGGUGAGUAACGCGUGGGAAUCUACCUUACGGCGGGGAAUAACAGUUGGAAACGACUGCUAAUACCGGCAUACGCCCUUCGGGGGAAAGGCUUCGGCCACCGUUUGAGGAUCCCCGCGUCCGAUUAGCUAGUUGGUAGGGUAACGGCCUACCAAGGCGACGAUCGGUAGCUGGUCUGGGAGGAUGAUCAGCCACACUGGGACUGAGACACGGCCCAGACUCC